CCUACGGGCGGCAGCAGUAGGGAAUCUUCCACAAUGGACGAAAGCCUGAUGGAGCAACGCCGCGUGUGUGAUGAAGGGUUUCGGCUCGUAAAACACUGUUGUAAGAGAAGAAUGACUUUGAGAGUAUCUGUUCAGUGCGUCACGGUAUCUUACCAGAACGGCACGGCUAAAUACGUGCCAGCAGCCGCGGUAAUACGUAUGUUCCAGUCGAUAUCCGGAUUGAUUGGGCGUAAAGCGAGCGCAGACGGUUAUUUAUGUCCGAAGUGAAAGCCCACAGCUUAACUGUGGAAGGGCGGUGGAAACUGGAUAGCUUGAGUGCAGUAGAGGAGAGUGGAACUCCAGGUGUAGCGGUGAAAUGCGUAGAGAUAUGGAAGAACACCAGUGGCGAAGGCGGCUCGCUGGACUGUAACUGACGUUGAGGCUCGAAAGUGUGGGUAGCAAACAGGAUUAGAUACCCCAGUAGUC
rnacentral:rRNA from 1 species